rnacentral:tRNA from 1 species
GGAAACGUGCCCGAAAGCUAGGGACCUCCUUGAUAGGGAGAACUACAGGGGUUAAAACCCCCUCGCUUCC